UACGGAGGAUGCAAGCGUUAUCCGGAAUGAUUGGGCGUAAAGGGAGCGUAGGUGGCCUUAUAAGUCAGUGGUGAAAUCUCGAGGCUUAACCUCGAAAUUGCCAUUGAUACUGUAGGGCUUGAGUAUAGUUGCCGUUGGCGGAAUAUGACAUGUAGUGGUGAAAUACAUAGAGAUGUCAUAGAACACCGAUUGCGAAGGCAGCUAACGAAACUAUAACUGACACUGAGGCUCGAAAGUGCGGGGAUCAAACAGG
rnacentral:rRNA from 1 species